GCGGAUGUGGCGGAACUGGUAGACGCCCUAGAUUUAGGUUCUAGUGCCGCAAGGCGUGGGGGUUCAAGUCCCUCCAUCCGUACCA
rnacentral:tRNA from 1 species